rnacentral:rRNA from 1 species
AGAGUUUGAUCCUGGCUCAGGAUGAACGCUAGCGGCAGGCCUAACACAUGCAAGUCGAGGGGGAGGUUACUUUCGGGUAACUGAGACCGGCGUACGGGUGCGUAACGCGUAUACAAUCUGCCUUUCACUGGGGGAUAGCCCGAAGAAAUUUGGAUUAAUACCCCAUAGUAUAGGAACACGGCAUCGUGAUACUAUUAAAGCUUAGGUGGUGAAAGAUGAGUAUGCGUUCUAUUAGCUAGUUGGAGAGGUAACGGCUCCCCAAGGCGAUGAUAGAUAGGGGUUCUGAGAGGGAUGUCCCCCACACUGGUACUGAGAUACGGACCAGACUCCUACGGGAGGCAGCAGUGAGGAAUAUUGGACAAUGGUCGGAAGACUGAUCCAGCCAUGCCGCGUGCAGGAUGAAGGUCUUAUGGAUUGUAAACUGCUUUUGUAAGGGAAGAAUAAGGACUACGUGUAGUUUGAUGACGGUACCUUAUGAAUAAGCAUCGGCUAACUCCGUGCCAGCAGCCGCGGUAAUACGGAGGAUGCGAGCGUUAUCCGGAUUUAUUGGGUUUAAAGGGUGCGUAGGCGGCCUGUUAAGUCAGCGGUGAAAUCUAGGAGCUUAACUCCUAAAUUGCCAUUGAUACUGGCGGGCUUGAGUGUAGAUGAGGUAGGCGGAAUGCGUGGUGUAGCGGUGGAAUGCAUAGAUAUCACGCAGAACUCCGAUUGCGAAGGCAGCUUACUAAGGUACAACUGACGCUGAAGCACGAAAGCGUGGGUAUCAAACAGGAUUAGAUACCCUGGUAGUCCACGCAGUAAACGAUGAUAACUGGGCGUAUGCGAUAUACAGUAUGCUCCUAAGCGAAAGCGUUAAGUUAUCCACCUGGGGAGUACGCCGGCAACGGUGAAACUCAAAGGAAUUGACGGGGGCCCG